CCUGUUGAGUGAUCAAAAGGGGAAUUUGAUUCAUUCCAUCCCCUUUCCCAUUUGGCUAGCCUUUAGUCACAGUGAAGUAGCCAUACCUGUCUCAGUCACAAAAGUAAAGCAAGUUAAGAUUCCCAAGUAAAAAAGCCUUGACAUCCAGUUUGAUUUGUACUGGACCCAUAGUUUUAACUGAAAAGGAUCAAACACAGGGAAUCUGUUCAGUUUAUGAAUUGGGCUAAAUUUAGUUCUCUUACCCUUAAGCUACAAUGGAGUUGUGUGAGAAUAGUAAAUGUAGUGGAUACAGAGGGUCCAGGGUGAUUAAACCCUCUAUAGAACUUUUCCUUACCUUUUCCAGUUACA
rnacentral:sRNA from 1 species